CGAUUCGAGUGGCGGACGGGUGAGUAACGCGUGGGUAACCUGCCUUACACAGGGGGAUAACACCUGGAAACAGGUGCUAAUACCGCAUAAGCGCACAGGGCCGCAUGGCCCGGUGUGAAAAACUCCGGUGGUGUAAGAUGGACCCGCGUCUGAUUAGCUUGUUGGCGGGGUAGGGGCCCACCAAGGCGACGAUCAGUAGCCGGCCUGAGAGGGUGGACGGCCACAUUGGGACUGAGACACGGCCCAAACUCCUACGGAAGGCAGCAG
rnacentral:rRNA from 1 species